rnacentral:rRNA from 1 species
GGAAUGCAGCUCAAAAUGGGUGGUAAAUUUCAUCUAAAGCUAAAUACCGGCUGGAGACCGAUAGCGCACAAGUAGAGUGAUCGAAAGAUGAAAAGCACUUUGGAAAGAGAGUUAAAAAGCACGUGAAAUUGUUGAAAGGGAAGCGCUUGCGACCAGACCUGCCCGUGGGUGAUCAGCCGCCGUUCUCGGCGGUGCACUCGCCCGCGAUCAGGCCAGCAUCGGUUCGAGCGGCCGGACAAAGGCCGCGGGAAUGUAGCUUCCUCCGGGGAGUCUUAUAGCCCGCGGCGCAAUGCGGCCAGCCCGGAUCGAGGACCGCGCUUCGGCUAGGAUGCUGGCGUAAUGGUUGCAAGCGACCCGUCUUGAAACACGGACCAAGGAGUCUAACAUCUAUGCGAGUGUUUGGGUGUCAAACCCAUGCGCGUAAUGAAAGUAAACGGAGGUGAGAACCCGUCAGGGCGCAUCAUCGACCGAUCCUGAUGUCUUCGGAUGGAUUUGAGUACGAGCAUAGCUGUUGGGACCCGAAAGAUGGUGAACUAUGCCUGAAUAGGGUGAAGCCAGAGGAAACUCUGGUGGAGGCUCGCAGCGGUUCUGACGUGCAAAUCGAUCGUCAAAUUUGGGUAUAGGGGCGAAAGACUAAUCGAACCAUCUAGUAGCUGGUUCCUGCCGAAGUUUCCCUCA